rnacentral:rRNA from 1 species
CCUAAUACAUGCAAGUCGAGCGAACAGACGAGGAGCUUGCUCCUCUGACGUUAGCGGCGGACGGGUGAGUAGCACGUGGAUAACCUACCUAUAAGACUGGGAUAACUUCGGGAAACCGGAGCUAAUACCGGAUAAUAUAUUGAACCGCAUGGUUCAAUAGUGAAAGACGGUUUUGCUGUCACUUAUAGAUGGAUCCGCGCCGCAUUAGCUAGUUGGUAAGGUAACGGCUUACCAAGGCAACGAUGCGUAGCCGACCUGAGAGGGUGAUCGACCACACUGGAACUGAGACACGGUCCAGACUCCUACGGGAGGCAGCAGUAGGGAAUCUUCCGCAAUGGGCGAAAGCCUGACGGAGCAACGCCGCGUGAGUGAUGAAGGUCUUCGGAUCGUAAAACUCUGUUAUUAGGGAAGAACAAAUGUGUAAGUAACUAUGCACGUCUUGACGGUACCUAAUCAGAAAGCCACGGCUAACUACGUGCCAGCAGCCGCGGUAAUACGUAGGUGGCAAGCGUUAUCCGGAAUUAUUGGGCGUAAAGCGCGCGUAGGCGGUUUUUUAAGUCUGAUGUGAAAGCCCACGGCUCAACCGUGGAGGGUCAUUGGAAACUGGAAAACUUGAGUGCAGAAGAGGAAAGUGGAAUUCCAUGUGUAGCGGU